rnacentral:lncRNA from 1 species
CCUUCGCAGAAGUGUCUCGGGCUGAUAUGGCCCUCUUCCCAUCCCCUGACGGCGGAAGCCCACAAGGAGCCUCUAGCCCCAGAGCCCGGAGCCCGGAGCCUCUGGGGUCGAGCCCCCGGCCCUCCCGGUUUGCCCGACCCGGAGCAGACUUUCACUUUGCCCGGCUCCACGAACAGCUCCCACCUCCGAUCCGAUGAAGACUCGCAGCUACAGUCCCUGCCCCCUGGAACGACGACAUCAACAAAAGACUCUGAACACCAAACUGGACAGUUGUGAGAGUCAUAGAGAAAGUUGAGCUGCAUUUGUUGGGACUCCGUAGAGGGAAACACCAAAAACCUUCUGGUGGUGAGCUGCAGUUUCUUGCUGCUUCUGCAGACUUAGGCUGACUGGAUGCAUGUGCUGAGGUAGUGCCCCUGCUGCCGAUUCCUGUUUGCUAUCCCGACUCUCCUGGACUGGACUGCUGGUGUAUUAUCUGUGAAGUGUGUGCGAGUGGAUUGAGCCGCUGCUGACCUGUGAACUGAACUGCUGAUUUCCAGAUAACACAGACAGGAGCUGCUCCAAAGAACCUUUCCAAACAGGUUCACCAACCCCCAACCCCAUCCUUCCUUUCCCACUACCUCUGGUGGGUGGUAGGAUAAAAGAAAGGUUAAAGCAUUUAAGAACCAUCAAUUAACCAUCAGUAAAAUAGACGUUUGAAAAAAUUAAAAUUACAAAGAACUCUAGAGGCAGAGGCAGAAGCAGGGAGAAAUCUUUGAGUU